CAGCCGACGGCAGCCGCUCACGUAAACAGGACCGUCCGGCGGGCGUGUUGGUAUGUUAUGCACCAGCGGGGCCCGGGCCAUUUACACCACUGUCGCCACUGAGGCCCGUAUGAGCAAGCCAGUCAUCUCGCACUGACUCAUUACCGGAAGGCUGGAGGAAAAGUUCUUCUUCUUCUGUAGUGUACGUCGUACCACAUGCUCCAACUUGAGGCUCUCUAUUCUAUCUCAAACACUUUCGGUACUGUGUGCCUAAAAUUGAGGGCGAAACCCAAUGUAUCAAAAAUCGCUUGGAAGAAAAUUGUUUAAUGAAAUUGAAAAUGUCGUCGAGUGAAGAAGCCAGAUUAACUGGAGCAUCAUGUGACCCGACUGUAAAAUCCAUUUUUAAAAUAACACCAUUGUUCCCUUUCUGGAUAAGCGUUUGGCAAGAGUAUUUGGCAAUUGCCAAAAUUGCACUGAGAAGCUUGAUGGGCGUUUCGACAACAUAUCGAUGUGAACAGUCCACACAGCGUAAGAAGUUGGGAGCCGCUGCUCCAGAAGUAUUCUCGGUGAUCUUACCGGAGAGUCAUCAGCGGCAACAGUAGCAGCGCGUAGGUGACCACCAUUGAAACGAAGUUCGCGUGAACGCGUUUCUCGUCUUCCAAAUCCAGUUGCGCUUCGUAUAGUCCCUGUGGCUCUUCCCUGAAACAAACAAAAUUGUUAUUUCAAUGUCCACUUCAAAAGUAACAGCUAUUGCAAACCUUUAUGCCGCAUUUAAUUACGCAAGUUUGUGAAACAGUGGGCACAGAAAUUGAAUCAGUCGGUUAUUUGUCCUAGCAUGUGGCGGAACAAGAUUUUUCUUUAAUGAAACAUUAAAUCAUAGAGAAAAAUCUAAAUAUUUUAUUAGACUUUUAGAAGUUGUAUUAAUAUACAAUUACAUAGUAUAAUAUAACCCCUUGAGAUGUCCUGUUUUACUCAUGUUCAGUUCGCUUAUAUGAAACAGAAGAACAGCGCUGAUAUGCAUUCAUUCCAAAUCAGCUAUGAAUCCAGUACUUACCGAAAAACAGUGAGAAAACAAGAAGCCAGUUAUCAGUAACAAAACGUUAAUGCUUUUUUUAGUUCUUAAAUGCUGCCACUAAUAGUAACAGAAAAGGCAGUUGUGGGCGUGAAGUGUUUACUGACGUGUAUUUCGAUGAUUUAAGUGUUAUUGUCGGCUAUUUACCGUCUAAUAAACUUAUCAUAGUUUCUGAAAAUGCCUAAGGAUGGAAAGAGAAAGUCUCGCAUUUCGGAUGAUUACACAAAAUAGUUGCUGAAAAAUGUGAAAUCUCUCGAAAAAUGCGGUUACGAACUACUGUCGCAACAA